CAGCCGCCGCGGUAAUACCGGCGGCCCGAGUGGCGGCCACUAUUAUUGGGCCUAAAGCGUCCGUAGCCGGGCUGGUAAGUCCCCCGGGAAAUCUGGCGGCUUAACCGUCAGAAUUCCGGGGGAUACUGCCAGCCUAGGGACCGGGAGAGGCCGAGGGGAUUCCCGGAGUAGGGGUGAAAUCCUAUAAUCCCGGGAGGACCACCUGUGGCGAAGGCGCUCGGCUGGAACGGGUCCGACGGUGAGGGACGAAGGCCAGGGGAGCAAACCGGAUUAGAUACCCGGGUAGUCCUGGCUGUAAACGAUGCGGACUUUGUGUCGGACAAGCUAUGAGCUUGUCCGGUGCCGGAGGGAAACCGUUAAGUCCGCCGCCUGGGGAGUACGGCCGCAAGGCUGAAACUUAAAGGAAUUGGCGGG
rnacentral:rRNA from 1 species